rfam:Myotis lucifugus cont2.1461, whole genome shotgun sequence.
GGCGGUUCUCGGGUGAUGCACCCCAGAAUCGGGCUCCCUCCCCUCUGGUUCUGGAUGCGACACCCAAGAACCGCA